GAAAAUACAAGAGAGUUUGAAUCAUUUUAUGUACAAUUGUUAUUGUUUUGUUUGCAGGCUGCAGAGGCAUACCUGGUUCAUCUGUUUGAAGAUAGUAAUCUUUGUGCAUUUCAUGCUCGACGGGUUACUAUCAUGCCUAAAGACAUUCAGCUGGCACGCAGAAUUAGGGGUAUUCAGUUGGCAUAAACGUAACUGGUAUAAAAUAGAUAGCAUAUACUGCGGACAGUUUGUGUCUUAAGAGAAAGUUACUGAAAGUUAAAAUUUGACUGAACUCUUUGUCAAUAAGGAAUUAUUGGUGUGUUGCGAGCUACUGUAUGUUUAUAGCUGCAGCAGUUUGGUUACUGUAGGAAUGCUUGCGGAGCCUUGUUUCCUGUCGCAUAAUGCAGAAUGGUUAUGCACAUUGCCUGUCCAACAGAA